rnacentral:lncRNA from 1 species
CUGAGAUGGUAUCUUUGAAGUGUUCCCUCCAGGCCAGAGUGGAACAGAGCAGGCAUAGGGUCUUCCCUGUACCUGUAGGGCUCUCUAGAAUGCCAUUUACUUUCGUCUGCAGACACUCGAGCACUUUGGCCAUGUACGUCUCCUGGCACUCGUAGGGCUGGAAAGGGAAAUCCACCGUGACGCCCCUCAGCGUGACCCUGGGCAUCGCUGCCGACCGAUCCCUCCCGCACCGCCGUUCG